rnacentral:rRNA from 1 species
AGCGAACGCUGGCGGCAGGCCUAACACAUGCAAGUCGAACGAACCCUUCGGGGUUAGUGGCGGACGGGUGAGUAACACGAGGGAACGUGCCUUUAGGUUCGGAAUAACUCGGGGAAACUUGUGCUAAUACCGAAUGUGCCCUUCGGGGGAAAGAUUUAUCGCCUUUAGAGCGGCCCGCGUCUGAUUAGCUAGUUGGUGAGGUAAAGGCUCACCAAGGCGACGAUCAGGAGCUGGUCUGAAAGGAUGAUCAGCCACAUUGGGACUGAGACACGGCCCAAACUCCUACGGGAGGCAGCAGUGGGAAAUCUUGCGCAAUGGGCGAAAGCCUGACGCAGCCAUGCCGCGUGAAUGAUGGAGGUCUUAGGAUUGUAAAAUUCUUUCACCGGGGACGAUAAUGACGGUACCCGGAGAAGAAGCCCCGGCUAACUUCGUGCCAGCAGCCGCCGUAAUAC